rnacentral:misc_RNA from 1 species
GAACCAUAUCAUGGACCCUAGGCAACAGUGCACUCCUCGCUAGUAGCACUAGCUUGAUUAGCUUGACAUUCAAUGCAGAGAUCCAUGAUAUGGUUCCUGCAAAUAGCACAGUUGUCUACAACAAUAUCCCAAGCCCAUAAAGAGACAGCGUUCCACUUUUUGAUCUCAAAACGCUUGGGUUUCUUCGAAGAAGAAGAACAGCAUGGAGGUGCGGUAACGGUGGAUCCUUCAUCGGCGGCAGCCAUCUCGACGUCUGUAGACAUAGCUGAGAAAUCAAUCAACAGAAUACGAAUCCAAAAUUCUAGGGUUACCGAUCGAACUUCUAAUAAGAGGAAAGAAAAGUCGGUGAAUGGAGCUAUAGUGUCAACAUGUUUGCGGGUAAAUUUGUG